ensembl:snRNA RNU6-1048P RNA, U6 small nuclear 1048, pseudogene
GGGCUCACUUCGGCAACACAUAUACUGAAAUUGGAAUGAUACAGAGAAGAUUAGCAUGGCCCCUGCACAAAGAUGACACGCAAAUGUGUAAAGCGUUCCAUGUUUUA